rnacentral:rRNA from 1 species
CGGGCGUUAAGUUGCAGGGUAUAGACCCGAAACCCGGUGAUCUAGCCAUGGGCAGGUUGAAGGUUGGGUAACACUAACUGGAGGACCGAACCGACUAAUGUUGAAAAAUUAGCGGAUGACCUGUGGCUGGGGGUGAAAGGCCAAUCAAACCGGGAGAUAGCUGGUUCUCCCCGAAAGCUAUUUAGGUAGCGCCUCGUGAAUUCAUCUCCGGGGGUAGAGCACUGUUUCGGCUAGGGGGCCAUCCCGGCUUACCAACCCGAUGCAAACUGCGAAUACCGGAGAAUGUUAUCACGGGAGACACACGGCGGGUGCUAACGUCCGUCGUGAAGAGGGAAACAACCCAGACCGCCAGCUAAGGUCCCAAAGUCAUGGUUAAGUGGGAAACGAUGUGGGAAGGCCCAGACAGCCAGGAUGUUGGCUUAGAAGCAGCCAUCAUUUAAAGAAAGCGUAAUAGCUCACUGGUCGAGUCGGCCUGCGCGGAAGAUGUAACGGGGCUAAACCAUGCACCGAAGCUGCGGCAGCGACACUGUGUGUUGUU